rnacentral:rRNA from 1 species
AUGUAAAUUUUUGUAGGAUUGAUGUUUUAUUUAAAUAAUAAAAAUUUUUUUAUUUCAAUUUCAGUAAUUAAUAUUAUUAAUCAAGUAAAUUUGUAAAUAGUAAUUUUGUUAAAUAUUGGCUAAUUUUGUGCCAGCAGUCGCGGUUAUACAAAUAAAUAUAAAUAUAGUUAUAUUAGUUUAGUAAUUUAAUUUAUAUUUAUUAAAAUAUAAAUUAUUAGGUGAAAUUUAAAUUAUUAAUUAAUAAAAUUAGAUAUUUUGAAGCUUGUAAAUUUUAAUUAGAAACUAGGAUUAGAUACCCUAUUAUUUAUAAAUUUAAAUUAAAAUACUUAGGUAGUAAUAGAUAUGUUCUUUAAACUUAAAAAAUUUGGCGGUACUUUAGUCUAUUCAGAGGAACUUGUUUCUUAAUCGAUAUUCCACGUUGAACCUUACUUGAUUUUGUUAUUUAGUUUAUAUACCGUCGUUAUUAGAAUAUUUUAUCAGAAAAUUAAUUUUCAAUAUUUUUUAAUAAAAAUUAUAUCAGAUCAAGGUGUAGCUUAUAAUUAAGUAGAAAUGGGUUACAAUAAAUUUAUUUAAUCGGAUUUAAUAUUGAAAUAUAUUAAUUAAGUUGGAUUUGAUAGUAAAAUUAUAUAGAUUGUUAAUUUGAUUUUAGCUCUAAGGUAUGUACAUAUCGCCCGUCGCUCUUUUUAUUAAGGAAAGAUAAGUCGUAACAUAGUAGAGGUA